CCUAGCGCCAUCUCCUGGCGGAACUGAAAACUGGAUAAGAGUCAUUUCAUGCAAGGACCCUCCCUUGCCUUGAUAGGAAUUAAGUUCAGGAGAAAAACCUGGUAAUUUUGUCAGAACCGCUGUGUUUUCAACCUCCUGUUAAGUAUCAAAAUGGAGAAGAGCAGAUGGUUUUGAGUGCUGUGAAUCAGGUAACACCGUGGUUGCAAGGAUACCUUGCAUUGGCCUUGUCUGAUGGAUGCUACAGUGUGGUGGGAAAGGAAAGCGGGACAGACAACAAAAAAUGAAUGGACAAAUAUAUCCCAUGUUAGGUAACUACAAUAUCAAAGAAGAAAAGCCAAUCAAGACCUCUGUGAGAACUUAGCCGCAAUGGCUUAUCUUAUUUGGCGGUGAACAUGGUUAUCUUGUGAAAACACAAGUCAUUGCCAGUAUGAACUGGGUUACCACUACAGCUUGGAGAUCCUUUGCCUCUUAGCCAUCUCUGAGCAUCAGCAGACAUGACUGUGAGCAGCAUGCACAAAAUGGAAGAUUCAAAGCCAUUGCACGUCUCUGGGUAAACUCCCAUAGAAGGUGAUGUCAAAAAGGAGAAAGCAUCCUCAGGAAAUGGAUAUUUCUGUUCCCCAGACAGCAUUCCCAGCAUCACUGAGCAGCCACGUUCCUGAUAUUCUGUUUGUUUAAC
rnacentral:lncRNA from 1 species